AGCCUCGUAGUGUAGUGGUCAAUCAUUGGGGACUCUGGAUCCCCGGACCCAAGUUCGAAUCUUGGCGAGGCUA
rnacentral:tRNA from 1 species